AUGCCGAUGUACGCCAUGAAAGGUGCCCAGGAAAUGGAGGAAAAUAAAAUAUCCAAUAAGAGAUUACAGCAGCAAGUACUGACCUUGAAAGCCCAGCUCAGGGACCAGACUGCAUUACAAAAUCAGUUUUACGACUUGCAAAAUAAAGUGGAACUCCUUCAGGCUCAGCUGUGUGAAAAGGUAUAAGCAAACUGGUGUCUGUGUGCUUGAAUAGGUGGACUGAUGUGGGCUCAGACUUCAGAUUCUACUUCUUUCUUCCCAAACGAAAGAGCCAAAAUAAUCUUUUUUCUUUUUCUUUUUCUUUUUUCCCCUGGGAAUGAGUCUGGGGAUAAUUAAGUGGUUUACAGGCAUAUCAAAUUCCCCGACUUCAGAGAAAUAGGAAAAGAUGUAAACUGCCUGGGUGGUCAACAUUAUGGAAAGAUGAUAGUCUCUCUAUAAUAAAAACUUGCCACCAAUCUCUUCUGUAAUCCCCAUAUCGUAAUCCAAGAAAAGUGCUGAGUUUUCUUACCGAACCACCUCCUUGGCUUAAGUUGCCAGAAUUUUUAACAUUCCCAGCUGUCUUUUUGCACCAGAAUUUUGUAGCUUUUUUUUAUCCAGCAGUUAGGGUUACAUAUUUAGAGAUUCAGUUGUAUGCAUGGUGUAGAUUAUUUUUUUAAAAUUGACAUUAUUAUUCUGUUGGAAGCUUCCAUGUACAUGCAGGUCUACUUACAUUAACAGUUUCUAGAUCUGCGCAUUGUAUUUCAGAGGGCACACCAGAGCAGGUACACUCAUUAACCUGUUGCCUUAAAUUCAAACUGCUGUCAGUGUGACUACAAUCAGUGAUCUCUUAGGUGAUCUCUGAUGAAUGAAUAAAUUCCUGUUAAGGCUUUUUUUUCCCUUAGAUUUUAUUUUCUAUUUCUUUGGAACCAUUUUUUUUUUAAUGAUGACUGUUAUAAUGUGAGCCAAAUUAGAAUUGUCCAUUGUGUUGUGAAACAACUAGUAAACAGAGUUUUCUCAGUUGUACCCUGCAGAGAGCACAUGGAAUGUGCAGACAAAGAAUUUUCUUCCUGCGGAGUGUGAAUUUCAUUCUCCUUCCUCCACAGUAAAUCCACUGCCUUGUUAUGUGCUGUGAUUUACUUUAAAGAACAAUGCAUGGAGAACUAGUGGCCUCUCUCAGGAGUUGAUUAGGCUGCUUCUCAACAGAAUAGUGCUGGUAAAAUGAAUUUGUUUUAUAGUGUCUGCUGUCUGCAUUGAUGGAUGGUGCAUAUCAGAUGGUAGGUGAGUAAAGGAUGAGACGUGCUAUCCACAUAAGUGGGCAGCUCCUAAUUGCUCUGUUGCAUCAGCAAAGUUUUUUUGUUUCAUGCCUCAUCAAGAAUUUAGUGUCAACAGUGAAGAGACCUACUGCCAGCUUUUCCUUUGUUCCCUCAGUGCAAGUGUAAUGUAAGGGCGUCUCUCUGUCCUAUUCACUAUGUUUCUUCCCAAGUCCAUAAUUUAUUGGUUGAAGAUUGGGUGACCUCUUUCACUAUAACUGAGUUCUUAUAAAGGGAAUAUUUUUCUUUUCUUUUCUUUUCUUUUCUUUUCUUUUCUUUUCUUUUCUUUUCUUUUCUUUUCUUUUCUUUUCUUUUCUUUUCUUUUCUUUUCUUUUCUUUUCUUUUCUUUUCUUUUCUUUUCUUUUCUUUUCUUUUCUUUCUUCUUUCUUUUNNNNNNNNNNNNNNNNNNNNNNNNNNNNNNNNNNNNNNNNNNNNNNNNNNNNNNNNNNNNNNNNNNNNNNNNNNNNNNNNNNNNNNNNNNNNNNNNNNNNAAAGGGGUUUGCUGUCCUUUCUACUGGAAGACUCCAGGUGGAGUUCACAUUCUGGAAAUCAUGAAGUUAGUGCUAGGGACUUGAUGUGUGAUAGAUGGGUGUCAUUUUAUGACUAGUUAAAUUAAGUUGUAAAGUUGUUUUCAUUGGAUGAGUUAUAACUGAGGCUUUUGAGUUAUGCUGUGUUUUCCCUAAAGCAAACACACAAGUGUACCUGUUUAGAUCCAGCCUGAUUACAAUGAAGAAAAUAGCAAAUUUUCUGAACCUUUCCUGAACUAGUAUUAUAGCUUUAAUUAAACUCUUUUGUUUUUGACUGUAGAAUCCAGAACUGUGGAAAAAGUAAACUGUAUUAAUUAUGCCUUCUUAAUAAAUUUUAUUCUGAAUAUUAAUAGAGAUCCUCCCCUCCGUACAGCACUAAAAUCUGGGGCAAGCUUCAUCUUUGCCUUAGUUU
ensembl:lncRNA